AUCGCAGUCAUUAAGUGGUUGGAAAGCCAGCUCACCUGUUGUUGAGGGGGAGGUGGGCGAGAUCACUGAUUGAAAUUAAUCACAGUCAUAGGAAGUGGAGGGUUGGAGGUGGAAGGCAGGGAUGGGGAGAGAGAAAAUCGUUUUUUUUUUUAUGGUUAGGCUGCCUGCGUAUAAAAAUAAACAUUACCUUUCUUUCGUUUUUGUUUGUGGAAUUUUAUUAUUCAAAAAUACAGCACAAAAAAAGAUCAAACACACAAAAUAAAAAAAAAGAUAAGCAUAACGGUUUUCACAUGGUGUGCAAACCUUCAUGAUCUUCAUACUAUAUUAGUACGCUCAUUUAGAAGCUACGGUUAAUAUCAUUAGGAUUCCACCAGUCUUUACCAGGUGGGAGGGAGAGGGAGGGAGGGAGAGGGAGGGCGGAGGGUGGGGUUGUUGUCUAUUCCCCAGGGCUCUGUUCAGCUAUACAAACCAAGAUGCUACAGCAGUCGGCAGGUUUUACAGCCCAUCUGGGGCCGCAGUGUUGUGUAGGUGGAAAUAGGGUUGGUUACGUGUAGAAAAACGGAGUGACGCUAAGUUAACAGGAAGGACUUCUACAGCCGUCACAUUCCCGGUAAGGCAAACAACAAAACAGGGCCCCUUCCCGCUGUAGUCGGAGAGGCAUCUGAUCCAGGCUGACAGGACCCCCUCCCUCUCUCCCUCCCUCCCUCCCUCCCCCUCCCUUCUAAUGAGGGUUGGGGUGGGCACAGCACUGCAGAGCAUGGUAUAUACACACAAACAUUGAUCAUCUCAUUAAGACUGUUGUUUGGGAUUAGAUAUUAUGUUAUUUCCAUUCCGCAGAAUGAAACCUAGAGCCCAGAACCAAUGUAGGUCAUGGGAGAAAAAAAGCACGGAUAUUAAUGAACUUAAAAAUAGGAGGAAAUAUUCUUUUCUGAGGCAGGAGAGGGGGGGAAUAAAAGACAAUGCCCAAAUAAGGCCCAGUGGACCGGAACCAUGGACCAGCCGCAGCUGUGUACCGAAUAAAAUACACAAAAAAAAAAAAUCAUGGCAACGGGGGACAAGGCACAAUGGAUAUCGAAAAAAUAUGGAAAAUGGUUUAUGUGUGUUUGCAUGCGUGGACAAUGUGUGGUGAUUGGCCUCCAUUUUCUAAUCUUCUGUGCAACAAUACAAACCGAUAUGGUUUUCAAAGAGAGAUUGGAACGAACAACGGUUCUCCCUCUCUCUCUCUCUCUUCUGGUGACCACGCCUGCUGGGUCUCGGUUCACCUUCUUUUGUCGGGCGUCUAUUCUUUAACGCCGUCACGUGCGCUUUCGGUCGCGCUCUUUGUAUUCCGCCUUACAAAGUCCAAUUAGUGCGGCGGCGGCGGCGGGGGGAUUUGGUAUUGACCGCGGGGAGGGAAGGUUAAUCAAGAUAUUGGCUGCCUGUAACGCAAGUGCAAAAGGGAGGAUUAAGUACGUCAGGCUUUUGGGCCGGGGUCGCGGGCGCUCCAGAUGAUAAAUUAACACGGGCCGCGGAGCUCCUGCUAAUAAGGUGUGUAUCUGCGUGUCUCGGUGCGUUCGCGUCGGUUGGAUGGGAGUGGAGGGGGGGAUCUAGCUUCAGUCAAACCCGCUUAGCUGUGAUUGCCUAGUGAACCUUGCGGUCUACUUUGUCCCCACUAAUUUCCAACGCACUGCCCUCUCUCCCUCUUGCACCCCCAUUGCGAGGAGGGGCGAUGUUCUCCAAUUGUUUUCAAGCUAAGCCGGUACACAUGAGUCCACCAAUGGCAAGCAGCGGUGAGUUGCUCCACCUCGCGAGCGCCCAAUCCCCUCUGCC
ensembl:lncRNA